rnacentral:rRNA from 14 species
CUGAAACCGUAUGCGUACAAGAAGUCGGAGCGGACUUGUUCCGUGACGGCGUACCUUUUGUAUAAUGGGUCAGCGACUUAUGUUCAGUGGCGAGGUUAACCGUUUAGGGGAGCCGUAGGGAAACCGAGUCUGAAUAGGGCGAUUUAGUCGCUGGGCAUAGACCCGAAACCGGGCGAUCUAUCCAUGAGCAGGUUGAAGGUGCCGUAACAGGCACUGGAGGACCGAACCCACUGUCGUUGAAAAGCCAGGGGAUGACUUGUGGAUCGGAGUGAAAGGCUAAU